UUACCAUAUGAAGAAGACCUACUGCUUGAGAUUUGUUGAUGAUGUCAUCCUCAAAUCAAUGAUCGCUAAUUGUCAUAGUUACACUGAUGGGAA